rnacentral:rRNA from 1 species
AGAGUUUGAUCAUGGCUCAGAAUGAACGCUGGCGGCGUGCCUAACACAUGCAAGUCGAGCGAGAAAUCACACUUCGGUGUGAGAGUAGAGCGGCGCACGGGUGAGUAACGCGUGGAUAAUCUACCCAUGGAUUGGGGAUAACCCUGCGAAAGCGGGGCUAAUACCUGAUAGUCUGGUCAUUAUAUAGAUGAUCGGUAAAGGUGGCCUCUGAUACAAGCUACUGUCCGUGGAUGAGUCCGCGUCUCAUUAGCGGGUUGGUGGGGUAAUGGCCUACCAAGGCGACGAUGAGUAGCUGGUCUGAGAGGAUGAUCAGCCACACUGGGACUGGAACACGGCCCAGACUCCUACGGGAGGCAGCAGUGGGGAAUAUUGGGCAAUGGGCGCAAGCCUGACCCAGCAACGCCGUGUGAGGGAAGAAGGUUUUCGGAUCGUAAACCUCUGUCAGAAGGGAAGAAGUGGCAGAUAUUUAAUAUAUAUUUGCUUUGACGGUACCUUCAGAGGAAGCACCGGCUAACUCCGUGCCAGCAGCCGCGGUAAUACGGAGGGUGCAAGCGUUAUUCGGAAUCACUGGGCGUAAAGCGCGCGUA